UUUCAUUGCAGUCAAGUUUGGCAAGGUUUAUGCAAGACUAUCGAGACCUAAUAGUUCUUAUGCGCAACGCUAUCGUGGCUACUUGCAUGCAUGUGUGGUAAGCAAGUACAGUCAAUCAUAACAGGAGAAAUUUGUGCCCAAUAAUCACUAUUUAAAAGCAUGUCUAGGCUGUCUGAUGCACGUUGCCCAGCCCUUGCUCUAUGUUGAAUGCCUUGCAGAUCAGCACUAAUAAUAUACACUGUUACCAUGAUUCCUACAGCCUCAGUGGAAGCUGCCAGCACGUUGUUGGCCUGCUGCUCACAGCUUGCAACCUGGCACCACAAGGAGAAGACACAACAUGUACGGAUGUCUCCUGUGCAUGGAUUGUGCCCCCUCAGGAGCACAACAGAGACCAUCGCUGCACAAGUAAGAACAAAUGAUGGAUGCUGCAAGCAGCCAUAUAUAGCCGACAGUGAAGAUUUGCUGAGCAUGACAAACUGGAGAAUUAUUCAGGAGACAUUUGAUGGUAAGAAUGAACACAUCGAAAUUCAUCAGCAUAAUGUUGAAUUACAUAGGCACAUAGUUUUAUUGAGCAAGUGUUAUUUCAUCAAAAUACAUGGAACUAACACUAUGUGAAGUAAACAUGCAGAGGGAGCACGUGCUUAAACUGCUCCAGGCCGAGUGAAACCAGUCAUACAGCUCUUGCAUAAAAAUAAGACCUUACUGUAAUAAUGGUAAAGUAAAUAGCACAACUGUCAAUUUGUAAAUAUUACACUUGCCUAAGUGAUUAGAUGCAACUCAAUGAGGCUAGAAAGCUACAGAAAAUACUGAUGAGAGUUUAACUGACAACUGGGCUAGUUGGUAAUCAUUCAUUACAAGUACAUAAGUGGAAUAAUAGAUCAGGACAUGGAAGGAAACAAGACAUGCACCAAUGUUCUGAUUAGUCAGCGUGUUUUCUCUUAAUGCAGCCUUUUCCAUAUUUGCAUUGACUGAAAGUGUAAACCAAGUAGCAUUAGUUGUAUUGCUUCCCUGCAGCUGAUCACCAAUUUGCUCAAGUUAGGUCACACUUUUUUAUGUCUUAUGCUUUUGCAGCAAUUCAGCCCCUGAGCCUCGAUGACGGGGCAGUCAUUUUAGAAAGCAAAAUGGGCCAGGCAGAGAACGAGAACUGGCAUCAGGAACGUAUUGGUCGGCUCAUGGCAUCAGUGUUUAAGAGGUUGCUGCGGUGCAGAAAGCCUGAUGGUGCCGCAAGGGACGUAACGUAUCCUUGCCAAGUGAGCACCAAAGCCAUGCGAUAUGGCAGGAUUCAAGAGGACGAUGCCGUUAAAGCAUACGAAGAAAUAAUGGCAUGCAGGGGCAGAUAUUUAACUACUGCAUAUACUGGGUUGCAUGUUCAUCCCCAGCACCCAUUUAUUGCUGUCUAUUUAUUCCAACACCCUUGCCAUUCAUCCCCAGCACCCAUUUAUUGCUGUCUAUUUAUUCCAACACCCUUGCCAUUAGGCAAGGGUGUUGUCAAAGCAGCAGCUUCCGCAAAGUGCUGUUUGAAAAUAUCUGGUGACAAUAUAGAACUGAAAAAAGAUCAUGCAUAUUAUUACCAGAUACAAGGUAUGAUGGGUGUCACAGGUUUGAAGUGGUGUGAUUUUGUAGUAUGAACAAAUGCUGGAAGUGUAGCAGCCUCAACACAUGUGGAGAGGACUCCCUUUGAUGAAGUUCUUUGGUGUACAGAAAUUCUGCCUGGGUUGCUGCAUUUCUUCAAACAUUGCAUAGUGCCAGAGCAGCUCACUCGCAGAGUAAGCAGAGGACUCCCUCUUUACAAUGAAAAAAUAUAUUGGAUACAAAAAGAACACUGCAUAAUGCAUCGUUUGGCUGUGUUAAGAGGACAAGGCCUUCAAUAUAAUGUGCAAUAAAUGCUGGUAUUCUGCACCAAAAAGGAGUUAUUUUUUUCUCUGCUGGAGUUUGUGGCUCAUAAAAAUUAUGUUUACAGAAAUUUGGUGCCCUGAAAUGAGGGCAAGUACGGCAUUUUGCAGUUAGUGUACCAGUGUGCAUAAUAGCGUUUCAUCAUGCCGAGUUAAUAAUAGGUGUCUUAUAGACCAAUUUUCUCUUCGGAACUUGCGGAAAGUAGGGGGUACCACUUUUAGUCCAAGAAAUACGGUAGUUGAACAACCUUCUACAGAUUAUAGCACACGGAAACUGGAGUACUGGACAGUACACGCUACUGCACGAACUAUGCAACAAUCACAUCAGUAGUGCAUUCCCGUUCUGCUGAGCAAUUACUUGAAAGAAAGUACUGGUGAGCAUGAAUGUAAGGGAACUACAGAAAAUUUUCAUGCCAGUUAACAUCCGAGUCUGACUGACUACGAAUAUGAAACGAGAAUGU